UACGGGGGGGGCAAGCGUUGUUCGGAAUUACUGGGCGUAAAGGGCUCGUAGGUGGCCAACUAAGUCAGACGUGAAAUCCCUCGGCUUAACCGGGGAACUGCGUCUGAUACUGGAUGGCUUGAGUUCGGGAGAGGGAUGCGGAAUUCCAGGUGUAGCGGUGAAAUGCGUAGAUAUCAGGAGGAACACCUGCGGUGUAGACGGCUAUCUGGACGGCCACUGACGCUGAGACACGAAAGCGUGGGUAGCAAACAGG
rnacentral:rRNA from 1 species